GGCAAGAAGGGAAAACUCGCACCAAGGUAUGUUGGACCCUUUGAGAUUCUAGAGAGGGUUGGGAAAGUGGCAUAUCGGCUUGCUCUACCUAUCAGCAUGUCGGGUGUGCACAAUGUCUUUCAUGUGUCUAUGCUCAGGAAGUACGUCCGAGAUGAGUCGCACGUGAUUGAUCAUGGAACUAUUGAGGUAAACACUGAUGUAACCUUUGUGGUUGAACCUGUUCGUAUCUUGGAUAGGUCUACGAAGAAGCUUCGUAGGAAGGAGUUUGAUCUUGUGAAGGUGUUGUGGAGUCAUCAUGAUGAGGGUGAUGCAUCAUGGGAGUUAGAGUCUGACAUGAGAGUGAAGUAUCCGCAGCUCUUUGGAGAGUUGAGUGCUUGAAUUUCGGGACGAAAUUCCUUUAAGGGGGGUAGAUUGUAAUAACCGAGUUUUGUCUUCUUUAAGCAAAGUGAAAUGGUGGCAAACACCUUUGAUUUAAAGGUAGGGUAUUCCGUGAUUUAAGCAUUAGUGGAUCAAUCAAGACCGGUGCUUUAUUUGCUUACGUGUUUAUGCAUAAUUGAAAAUCAUUCAACAAAGAAAGCAGAAGAAAUCUCACUCUCUCUCUCUCACGGCCGAACCCAGCAAAAACAGAGCACGGAUUCUUCGAUCUCUCUCUCCCUCCUCAGGCCACCUCAAGACGUCGAACCACCUCCAUUAGCCUCGCCUAGACCUUGCACUGCUGCAGUGGCAUCCUUGCACCGCGGCACAACCGGAAAACGGCGGCGGAAACACGGUUUCGUUUUAAAACCCGAUUGGGUCCAAUUGUGAUAACUCGAGCUACAGGCCAUCAAUCCUCACCAAACUUCAUCCUCGAGCUCGCCUCAACUUCCUGAAGCUCCCAGAAGCAGCCUCACACGGCGGCGUGGCCCGUAGCAGUGGCUACAAGUCAAACCCAACCAAGAACGAAACCGGAGCUAUCGAUCCAAAUAUCUUGAGCUACAGGAUGUCGUUUUGAGUGAUUCUUGAACCAGUGAGCUCGCCUUGAAGUUCUGAACAACUCUCCAGAAGGAAUCGAAGCGUUUCGUUGAAGUUUUUACGUCGGAAUUCAAGCUCGCCGGAUUCUGGAAAUUUUCCGGCCACCGACGCUUUCGAUCAAGAUAUCUUGAGCUGUAGAGCUUCGUUUUGAGUGAUUCUUGAACCAGUGAGUUCGUCUUUAAGUUCUGAACAAGUCUCCUGAAGGAAUCGAAGCGAAAGGAGGACAUUUUUACGUUGAUCGGAGCUUCGCCGGCUUCUGCAAAUUCUCGCCGGUUUUUGGAAAAAUUCCGGCCACCUCGACUGUUUUAGGUGAUUGACGGUCUUCCUUGGGUGAGCGAUUUCGGUGUGUAUUGUGUUGAAUUGAAGACGCAGCGGGAAUAUCGAGCGGGUAAUCCUACAGGUCAGGCGAAUCGGGAAGGUGAUCGAGCUGCUUAGAGAAAUUGCAUUGGGUAAAUCUGGAUUUAUAUUGUGAGGUUUAUUAUGCUCUUUUGAGUAUUGUAAAUUAAGUUGUGAGAGUGUGAUGUAAUAAGUAAAUUGAAGAUUGGUUUUUGUAAUAUUGAGAGGUGUGAAGUGUGGUUGUUUGUGAGAAAAAAAUUCAGGACGUUAUUUGUAUUGAUGUUAAUCAUGUUUCGGAUUUGAA